rnacentral:lncRNA from 1 species
AUGCACAAGAUGUACCCCAGCCUUGAGCUCUAGUACUUUCCAUAGGGUCCACCAUGUCUGGAGUUAUUGACACGGUAUCCAGAUGUCGAAACGUGUAGCUACAGCAGUAAUUGAGUUUCUCGGUAUUGGGUAAACAUCAAUGAGGGUUGCUAUUAGCAAGAGCUUGCAAUCUGUCCUGGGAGGUCCCAAUCAAAGACAAGUACAUCACACUCUCCAUCACUCUGCUCUUCCGCACUCUUAGUGAAGUAACAUACUAGCAUGAAGAGUUUGUGAGGUGGUCCCUCAUCAAUCAUUG